UUUAAUUCCAAAAUUGAUAAAUAAAUGCUUUCAGUUGGAAAAGAUUGAUGAGACACAUGACGUGGCAGAAUGAUGUGCAGCUGAAUCAAACCGUGGUGGUGUGAAUCAAAAGCAUUUAGAUAGGUGUGGAUUUUUUAACACACACACACACACACACACACACACACACACACACACACACACACACACACACACCGUGUGUUGAAUUGCAGCAGAGUAAAUGAUGCUGACAGUAAUGUGGAGUGACUCAGGGUGACUGAAUGGAUGGAUGAAUCGUGACUCAGCUGUUUUUAGUCGCAUUGUGAAUAACCUGACAGGUUGAACCGUUAACCAGCGGGCCUCCACCCAGGCUGCACCGUCACCGUCCCCCACACCCAGACGACACCGACUAACAGCGCCCUAACAGCGACUUCCUGACUCAAAGCAGCUCGAUACCGAGGCCACGGCGUCCUUCCUCUUCCCGGGGAUGACACGCCCGGCUCGCCUCGUCGGAUUGCGAGGGUCUGGUCACUGCCGCAGGACCUCCACUCGGCAAAGAUGGCCGGCCCGGGCCACACGGCCAGGGGGAAGACCCGGCCCGGUCCAGUUGGGACCACGCACAGAUAAUUUCGUCGAAACUCGAAUAACUCCUAAACUAAUGUCUACGAGUGGAGCUGUUGCUUCAUGUAAUCGCUGAUUUCUAUUUUUUUUUUUUUUUUUGAAGGUGGCGAAUCACCGAACUGCGGUCCGAAGGGGCAAGCCGAAAUACCCGGACCGAUUCUAGCGCGCGUCACGCUGCCCACCGCGCCGCGGAGCGGAGCAACGGUCCUCCGGAGCGGCGAACCCCCGGGCCCCGGGGGAGCCGCCGCGCGCCGCACCCAGCACCGCUGUAUUCACGUCGACCCACGGCGUCGUCCCCCGACUGCUCCUUACCAUGAUGUCCCGGGGUUUGUAAGCGCUGCUUCAGCGUCAGAUGGAGUCUUCCAAGUCGGGUGAACAGGGAGCGGAGAAUAUGGCCAUUUCACCGGGGGAGGCGGAUGAUAAAGAGAAGGGGCGGGGGCUGGGCCGGAAGACUUCAGAGCGCCGAGCCGAACCAACCGCCUGCGAGCCGCGCGGAAAAAAAACCACAUCACCUUAAAAGCGUAUUUUAAGUGUAGACAUCAGCGACAACAUUUGUAGAGCUAAUAGACAUUUUUAUCGGGGUUCGCUUUAAAGGCAAACAAGCGAACCAUUGAAAAUGGUGGUGUGUCAUGCUCAUGGAACACUUUGAUCUUGGAAGGUGAGGUGCCACCAGUUUUUCGCCUGAAGGGAAAAUUGGAUGACAUGACAGAGUACAGCCUUUUAAGGCUGAAGAGAGGAAGAAAAGUUGUCAACAAACAGCUGCUCCAGUUGUGCAGGGGAUGGAGACAACUGAAGAAGAGACCAGUGUGGUGGCCCGAGUUGUGGAGCACUGCAAGAAAGCAGCAGAAUGGGUGGAGAUGAACCCACAGCUGUCAGCAGCCAGGGUGGAGGUGCCUGACGGUUUGAGCAUGGACGACACAUCAUGCACUGAGGAGGCUGUGCAACAGCUGGAAAACCUCUUUCACGCCACCCUGGAUUUUGGUGAAGAGGAAAGAGAAGUGAUUCUGGAGCUUUUUAAGUUUUUGUUAUACAACAUUUGAGAUAUGUGUGUCUUUUGUGAAGAGAUCAUGGACAAAGGAGGGUACAUAGCAUACUGCGAGCGCAAAGAAAAAUAAAACAAAUUGGAAGUUUG